rnacentral:lncRNA from 1 species
CAACAUGCCCAUUAUCUGCCUGUCAUCUGCAUGUGAGGUGCCCAUACCAUUGCAGAAAGGAGCAGAGUGUGGUGAGGAUAAUGGCCUGGUGCAGAGGCAGACAUGUCUGAUGUACACGGCCAGCAUUGAAGUUUGGGGAAGAAAACAAAGCAAGUGUGGAUCCUCAAAUGGUGAACUGCAUCUCCAUCACCCAAGUCCUCUGGGAUGGCCUGACCCUGCAGACAGAAACUCAAGUCUCCUGCAUGGCUAGAUAGGGAAGGUUCAUGUGCUGGGUAGAGGAGUGUGUGUGGGAUGUGUGGGGGGACAGGACAGAACCCAGCACAGAUGACUGUGUCCUGUGAUGUGUUUUUUGUGAGGAGUCAGGCAACAUUUGCUCACAAACUGUAUAGCCAUGUGUAGCUUGCUUGACUGUGGCAAAACAAGAUGUAUCACUGGGGGUGGUCACAAACUGUGCCCCAAGUCAGGUCUGGCCACCAUCAUCAAUAAACCAAAACCAAAACCAAAAAAACAAGCAAGCAAACAAAAAAACAAAUGAAUACUAGAAAGCAGAGAAAAAUAGAUUAUUCAAUGCAUUGGGAAGAGAGACAGUCCAGAGUCUGCCUUCACGGGCCUGAAGUGAGAUCAGAACUUAAACAGAGAGCCAAGGCUGUGCACAUUUAAGAGUCCUGGAAAAGGUGUGGCCACACUCACCAGUAACCAUGUUUAUUUGGGUUUCAGUCUCAUCCUGCAAGGUGGUUUGAUAAGUUGUUUAGAACUUUUGAAAUUUCUUCCUGGGCAGCAAGUUCCUUGUAUGGCUAGCCCAAGAGAACCCUAAGGAAAUUCCCAUUUCUUUGGCGUUCAUUGCCACAAGUCUGAUAGACCGAGAGACAAGCAUCUCUUUAGAACACCUUCAUUUCUUCCAGGCCUGCUACAGAUGGACAAGAACGAGUCAGGGCUGCCAAGCAGACUUUCAGCCUACAGUGGGGAGACGACAGGAGAAUGAAGGCAGCCAAAAGACUUAGCAUCUGGCAGACAGCGGCAGGCACGGUCUGUAGGGUCAGUGGUUAAGUGCAGGAAGGCCACACAGAGCAGGAGGUGUCUGAAUGAAUAUGCUUUCCCAGUGAGAAGCCACACCUCACCCUUAGACAUUAAUAAAGGGAAACAUUCUUUAAUAAUACCCUGUGACUGCUUCUGGCCAAUGCACACAAAAAAGAACCAGUCUCAAACAGAAAAUUUUAUCAGCUUACACAGGCUUUGGGCUUAUGCAUUCUGAAUGCACUGUCGUCCCUUAGGUCCAGGCUCCAGGUUAUGAUCUGAAUAAUUUAAACAAGACAAGGGACUGCAAGGUAUUGGCAGAAUUAUUUCUUAAGUAUUGUUCUUUUUGUUACCUGAUGUCAUCUUGCCCACGUGGCAGAUAUGCUUUUCCUACAGGGAAAACAAGGAUUAAUGUUGGCUGUGAUCCUGCACUGCCCUCUUGAGCUGCCCUUAGGGGCAUAUUCUUUGGGAUGGGGUUAAAAUCCAGUUGUUAAGUCAGGGUUGUUUCCUCC